UAGGGAAUCUUCCGCAAUGGACGCAAGUCUGACGGAGCAACGCCGCGUGAGUGAAGAAGGACUUCGGUUCGUAAAACUCUGUUGUUAGAGAAGAACAGCGCAUAGAGUAACUGUUAUGCGUGUGACGGUAUCUAACCAGAAAGCCACGGCUAACUACGUGCCAGCAGCCGCGGUAAUACGUAGGUGGCAAGCGUUGUCCGGAUUUAUUGGGCGUAAAGCGAGCGCAGGCGGUCAAUUAAGUCUGAUGUGAGAGCCCCCGGCUCAACCGGGGAGGGUCAUUGGACACUGGUAGACUUGAGUGCAGAAGAGGAGAGUGGAAUUCCAUGUGUAGCGUUGAAAUGCGUAGAUAUAUGGAGGAACACCAGUGGCGAAGGCGACUCUCUGGUCUGUAACUGACGCUGAGGCUCGAAAGCGUGGGUAGCAAACAGG
rnacentral:rRNA from 1 species